rnacentral:tRNA from 1 species
AAGUAUGAAGCAAAAUUUGCAUUUAGUUUCGACCUAAAAAUUUGAUAAAUUAUCCUUACUUU